AAUUUAUAAGAUUCGAACCUGCAGCAGGUCGAGUCGAACGCAGUGAGACAACGGAGCCGUUUACGGCGACGGCCCGAAGGGCGAGCGAAGCGAGUCAUCCUGCACGACCCACCA
rnacentral:sRNA from 1 species